rnacentral:rRNA from 1 species
CCUACGGGAGUCAGCAGUGGGGAAUAUUGCACAAUGGGGGAAACCCUGAUGCAGCGACGCCGCGUGAGUGAAGAAGUAUUUCGGUAUGUAAAGCUCUAUCAGCAGGGAAGAAAAUGACGGUACCUGACUAAGAAGCCCCGGCUAACUACGUGCCAGCAGCCGCGGUAAUACGUAGGGGGCAAGCGUUAUCCGGAUUUACUGGGUGUAAAGGGAGCGUAGACGGCAGCUCAAGUCUGGAGUGAAAUGCCGGGGCUUAACCCCGGAACUGCUUUGGAAACUGUGCAGCUAGAGUGCAGGAGAGGUAAGUGGAAUUCCUAGUGUAGCGGUGAAAUGCGUAGAUAUUAGGAGGAACACCAGUGGCGAAGGCGGCUUACUGGACUGUAACUGACGUUGAGGCUCGAAAGCGUGGGGAGCAAACAGGAUUAGAUACCCCAGUAGUC